CUCUAACAGUUUUUCUUCAAUCUCCCACAUCCAGGCUCAAAUCUUGACAGAAAUUUUUCUCUCAUUUUCUAUCAGAUUUUGCAUUCAACCUCUAUGUUCUCAUGGAUUCGAGAUACUUUCUCGCAAUUUCUCUAUGUUUCUUUUGUUUUUUUCCCCGAUUUAUCCCUUUUAGUCCCAAGAUAGCUCUUUCUCUUUCCCUUCGAAGUAGCUCUCUUCCUCUAGCCAGAACGUGGUCUCCUGUCGAAACGUCAUCUCUUCGCAGCUCUCCAAUUUGAAAAUCCCAGUGACUUAUAUUCAAAGUCUACUGUUCUUCUUCUUCAAUGCACUUGUUUUUCUUCUUCUCCUUCAAUCUGCCUUCUUCUUCUUCUUCUUCUUCUUCUUCUUCACAUUGUUCCCUCAGCUUCAUUAUCAAAGGACUUAGGGGUUUCAUUAAUAGCUGCGAAAGAAGAAAUUUUCUCGAAGCUGAGAGGAUUUUCUUGGGAGGUCCAGAAAGUGCAGGAAAAUUUUUUCAGUGUACCGAGAGAAGGGGAAGGAGGAGGAGGAGGAGGAGGAGGAAGAGAGAGCGUGACGGGAAUGUCUUUGAAUUCGGGUGGCUCCACCAGAUUGAGAACGAGGUCGGACCCUUUCUUGGUGGUGUGUAAGUACUUCAGCAUCUUGACCUCCCCUACAGCCAUUCUCUGUAUCGCUGUUAAUGUUCUCUCUGCCGUUCGAUCUUUCAAGGACGGAUAUGAUUGUAGGUUUUCGAUGGGAUAUUUCAGUGUUAUGAGGUUUUGAUUGCAGCUUUUGUGGUUCUAGCUGAGACAGAGAGGGAAUUCAUCAUCAAGUUCUGGAAGGUGUAGCCAAAUCUGAGCUUAUCUGACCAGAUCAUGCAGGAGUGCUUUCCACUAGUUCGCUGAGAAUUUAUUUGCUAGUGUUGUUGGUUUGUAUCAGCAUGAUUCUAUAUCAGAUAUAGAUCCAGUGUACUUGUCAAAGAAUCAAUGGAUAUAUAAGGUUGAGUUGGCUAGUUAUGUAAAGCAGCUUUAUGCACAAACCUCUGAAUCAGCUAGUUAUGUAUGGCACAACAUUGGUCUUCCAACAAGUAGGAUGCUUUGGUACAAGGUAUACUAUAUUUAUAUUCAUUAACAAGAUCAAUUUUCUUUCCCAACUAGAAUGUGACUUCAAAUUUCAAUAUUAUUUUAGAACAUUCUCUUUUGCAUUUGUUUCAGUCAACAUUCUCAGCUCCUCUUGGUACCGAUCCAGUUGUGUUGUGGUUGAUUUGAUGGGAUUGGGAAAAGGAGAAGCUUGGAUAAAUGUCAGAGCCUUGGAAGGUAUUGGCCAAAUUUUGAAGCCAAUGAAGAUGGUUGCAGUUAUAUUUGUAAUUAUUGUGGAGCAUACAAUAGUAAUAAGUGCCUGAUCAAUUGAUCAUUACGGCAAUAAUACUUAAUUGCUUGAGCUCCUGUGAAUCCUGCGAGAACGGAAUAACAUUACUUAGAGGACCCAUCUUAAACGACAUUGUUUUGGCCUUCGAAACAAAUAAAAACCACUGUUAUUGUAUUUUCCCAUUCAAUUUGUACAAAAACUGAAAGUAACUACCAAUAGAAUUUUGAAAGAUUUCUGUUCAGUGCUGAAAGGAACAUUUUGUUAUCCUUGUAGUUGGUGUAUGCGUGUGUUAUGCAAUGAUGUAAGAAUGUAAUUAGCAGCUCAAGUGCUUAAUGUGUGAUUUGGUAAAAAAGUCGUUGGUUUCAUGUAUUGUUUUGUUGAAAAAGUC